AUGAACGCUAGCUACAGGCUUAACACAUGCAAGUCGAGGGGCAGCAUGAACUUAGCUUGCUAAGUUUGAUGGCGACCGGCGCACGGGUGAGUAACACGUAUCCAACCUGCCGAUGACUCGGGGAUAGCCUUUCGAAAGAAAGAUUAAUACCCGAUGGCAUAGUUCUUCCGCAUGGUAGAACUAUUAAAGAAUUUCGGUCAUCGAUGGGGAUGCGUUCCAUUAGGUUGUUGGCGGGGUAACGGCCCACCAAGCCUUCGAUGGAUAGGGGUUCUGAGAGGAAGGUCCCCCACAUUGGAACUGAGACACGGUCCAAACUCCUACGGGAGGCAGCAGUGAGGAAUAUUGGUCAAUGGACGAGAGUCUGAACCAGCCAAGUAGCGUGAAGGAUGACUGCCCUAUGGGUUGUAAACUUCUUUUAUACGGGAAUAAAGUGAGGCACGUGUGCCUUUUUGUAUGUACCGUAUGAAUAAGGAUCGGCUAACUCCGUGCCAGCAGCCGCGGUAAUACGGAGGAUCCGAGCGUUAUCCGGAUUUAUUGGGUUUAAAGGGAGCGUAGGCGGACGCUUAAGUCAGUUGUGAAAGUUUGCGGCUCAACCGUAAAAUUGCAGUUGAUACUGGGUGUCUUGAGUACAGUAGAGGCAGGCGGAAUUCGUGGUGUAGCGGUGAAAUGCUUAGAUAUCACGAAGAACUCCGAUUGCGAAGGCAGCUUGCUGGACUGUAACUGACGCUGAUGCUCGAAAGUGUGGGUAUCAAACAGGAUUAGAUACCCUGGUAGUCCACGCCGUAAACGAUGAGUACUAAGUGUUGGGGGUCAAACCUCAGUGCUGCAGUUAACGCAAUAAGUACUCCGCCUGAGUAGUACGUUCGCAAGAAUGAAACUCAAAGGAAUUGACGGGGGCCCGCACAAGCGGAGGAACAUGUGGUUUAAUUCGAUGAUACGCGAGGAACCUUACCCGGGCUUGAAUUGCAACUGAAUGAUGUGGAGACAUGUCAGCCGCAAGGCAGUUGUGAAGGUGCUGCAUGGUUGUCGUCAGCUCGUGCCGUGAGGUGUCGGCUUAAGUGCCAUAACGAGCGCAACCCUUAUUGAUAGUUACCAUCAGGUUAUGCUGGGGACUCUGUCGAGACUGCCGUCGUAAGAUGUGAGGAAGGUGGGGAUGACGUCAAAUCAGCACGGCCCUUACGUCCGGGGCUACACACGUGUUACAAUGGGGGGUACAGAAGGCAGCUACACGGCGACGUGAUGCUAAUCCCGAAAGCCUCUCUCAGUUCGGAUUGGAGUCUGCAACCCGACUCCAUGAAGCUGGAUUCGCUAGUAAUCGCGCAUCAGCCACGGCGCGGUGAAUACGUUCCCGGGCCUUGUACACACCGCCCGUCAAGCCAUGAAAGCCGGGGGUACCUGAAGUGCGUAACCGCGAGGAGCGCCCUAGGGUAAAACUGGUGAUUGGGGCU
rnacentral:rRNA from 1 species